GUAAGCUUUGAUAAUUUUCUGUAGACCAUUUUUCACGGCCUCAUUCAUCCUGUUUUAACCUUUUGGCGCUGGAUCAGCGUGUUUACUUUUCCUUUUUGAACAAUAAAUCACUUUUUUAACACUCAAACUGGACUGAUAAUUGACAUGUCGCAGAUGCAAGCGAACCUUUUUCGUUGAAGGAAAACAGUCACUACAGGAAGUAAUGAAAUUACACUCAGACCUGGAGCGCAGAAAUUAAAUUACACACCUGCUGUGAUGCUAAACACAAAACCAGACAUUCAGCGUCUCACUAUUCCUCGCAGGUAAAAGAUCAUCUGUCCUGUUUGGGCCCUGAAAUCUACGGCGUAAAACCCGGUCCAUCUCCUGCUGCAGGCCUGUUCACACCACUUUGUCUCUGCUAUGAGAAAUCCUGAGUCUGCUGCACAGGCUUUAGUGAACAGUCACUUACUUGUCAUUCAGGACGUCACUGAGACUGAAGGUGAACCUGAAAUUAUCAUAUUUAUCACACAUCCAUACGCAGCCUUGGGUGAACACGUCAGCGAAAAUGUAAAAAUGAUUUAGGAGCUUUUCUUGGAUUUUCUUGAAAUGAAAACCUCAGACAUCCCCGAAUGUUUCUAUUAUCAGAAAUAUAUAAAUACUGUCUGCAAGUUGGAUAGCUGGGAGCCAAGAGGAGGAAACAGGAGUUAUAAAGUCUGAGCGUCAGAGACGGAGAGCGGACUGAGAUCAUAAAAAGACGGGGAGUGAGAUCUCUCUGCAGUUACAUUUCUCUGUUUUCUGUCUUCAUCUCGACUUUAAGUGUCUCGUCUUUAAUCAAAUAGACAUUCUGGAUAUUUUAGAAGUCAGAGAGAACUGAGCGUGCUCAGUACGAGUUUCACUCUAUAAUUCAUGACAGUCAAAUAAUGCAGGACGGGGUCCAAUAGUCAGAAUGUCUGCAGGGUCGAGCGACAGCAGCUUCCCUUUAACGACUUUAAACAAGCUGUAAAACAAGAUCAACAUGUCGGCUAAAUAAAUGUGAGCUGGUGUGAAUGAGGCUGGAGGUCUGUCUUCACACUGAGCAGGAGACUGAAGGAAAGCUGUUAAAGAUCCACUGCAGUCAGACUUCAUGUCUCUGCUUUCUGAGCUCAGGUCACUCAGAAGGAAAUUCAAGUAUUAAGUUUAUCACUCGGCGUACAAGAAAAGAAGAGCUGUAAAUCGCAGUUUCUUAAAUCAAAAAGUGACUAAAUCAUCAUAGAAGCUGUACAUACAAUCAAAACAAAGAGGUUGUUAAAACUGCUGCUAUCUUUGGUUAUGUCUCUUGUUAACACCCCUCUCUUUUAUUCGGUCAGAGUUCAUUAUGUUUAUUAUUAUUAUCAUCAUUAGUCUGACCUUGGUGUAAGAACUCACACUGACGAUUUUGACUCCAAAUCUCUUUGCAUGCUAUCAGGGCUGGGCGGUAAAACGAUAACGAUAUACUGUAUAUCGAAAAUUAAUUUCCCUCAAUAUCAAUAUAAAACACGAUCAAUAUGCUUCUCGAUAGUCGUCAUUCUGCCAUGUUUUGGUAGACUAUACGAAUAGCCAAUGAUAAGAGGAGUUGGUCCUGGUCCGCUUCACUCUGAACCAAUCAUGUGCUGAAUUAGAACCAACUGCAUCACAGCAGACAGCAGCUACACCCAACCAUAGCACUUGAACAGGUGAAGCCGACAGCACUGUUGGUGAGAAACAAAGAAAAUGAGUGCUACCCCCGACAGAAAUGACCAUGAAGGCUCAACAGAUGACCACAUCGAUGUCAACCACAACACUGGCGUUAGGAAAACGUCGGUGGUGUGGAGGUAUUUUGGUUUUUGGAGGUCGGACAUGAAGCAGAGUAAUGUGGACUGUAAAUUAUGUCGAGUACAUGUUCUCACAAAGUCGGGGAAUACCUCAAAUCUUUUUCACCACCUGAAGCAGCGCCACGCCGCAGAGCACGCGCAACGCAAAAGGUUACAAAGCCCAGCCGAAACAGACGACAAUUCAGUCCGCUUUCUCUAGAGCAACGCCUUACGACAAAACGUCAAAGAGACACAAAGACCUCACAGAUGCAGGAGAUUAUUGUGUUUUAAAAGACAUGCGACCAAUAAACACUGUUAAAAAAAAAAAUGAUAUCUUGAUUUAUAUCGAUAUCGACUGAUAUGGGAAAAAAAUAUAUCGUGGUAAACUUUUUUCCCAUAUCCCCAGCCCUACAUGCUAUCAUGCACGUACAUAUUUUAAAGGUGGGUUGUUUGUUCAGUCAGCUGGUGUAAAAAUGGAAAUACUGCAGAAAACUGGAUUUAACAGAAAACCAACAGUGAAAAUUAACAGACAGGAAACAGUCAACUCCUCAUUGUUGGAGCUCGCACAUUAGCCUCAGUGACAGAUCAUGAUGGUGCCGAGCUGUCAGAGGAGGAGAAAGGUAUUAUUAAACCUCACAGCAGAAGAACCCACUUUGGAGUUGAUAAUAAAGGUCAAAUAGUCUUUCCGCCUCAGUGAGUCUGCAGCCUCUAAUAAAUUAAACACGACAGAUGACGCCCGACUGAACUCAGGAAGUUUUUAACGCUGUCAAACUUUUCCUACUUUCUACUUUCAUUUUUAAAAGCCGGGGUGGUUUUUGGUUUUAUUUGACUUUGCAGGGUCUCCAGAUGGCAACGAUUUUGACAAAACGACAGAGACGACGGGCAACUGGGCUUUUCAAGUGACAAGCUGUUGUGCCGGUGAUGUGAACCCUCGCCGGGCUGACGGAGCUGACAGCUCACAUCCCAAUUCACAAAGUGUCACAUCAGGAAAUAAUGUAGAGAGCCGCAUAAAUAUUACACUCAGAAACCUGCAGUCGAGUGAUUCCUAAAUAUUAGGGUGAAUCUAUCUGAUUUAAGGUCGUUAUCCAUGUUGAAGGUAAAACUUAGUGAAGCGUUUCACUUUCCUGGACAUUUAUUCUUUCACUUUAAGGAAAUUUUUCGACCCUUUCUUUCUUUUUUUCUAAAUGCUUCCUCUAUUCCUGACUCUCACAGUAUCUGACGCUCUGCAGCUUCUCUUGCAUUUAACAGCCUCAGACCCGCGUAUGCAUAAAACCACAUUAAGUGGAGAUAUGAACUGCUCAGGCGUAGGGAGAUAUGGUCAAAAUGAAUUCACGAAUGAAGAAUUUCUCCCUCUCUUUCCAUCUCUUUUUCUAUUUGCCUCAAUUUCCCUAUAGUGUUUUUUCUUCCCCCUUUGAGAAAGCUGAGAGGAGAAACCGCUUCUAAAUUGACUGACAGAAGAAGAUACUUCGAUGACUGCUUUAACCGCUUAUUCCGGGAGCGCUCAUGUGUGAGGGGAGAAAAGGCUGGAAUGAUAGUUGCGUGCAUUUCAUUGUGCAGCUGCAGGAAUCCUUGCAGCUUCAAAAGAUAUCAUUUGUGAAGGCUCUUUAACAAUGCCUUCUGUUUGAGGGAGACUCCUCCUCUGA